GUGGGGAAUAUUGGGCAAUGGGGGAAACCCUGACCCAGCAACGCCGCGUGAAGGAAGACGGUUUUCGGAUUGUAAACUUCUUUUAUCGGGGACGAAAAAAAUGACGGUACCCGAAGAAAAAGCCACGGCUAACUACGUGCCAGCAGCCGCGGUAAUACGUAGGUGGCAAGCGUUGUCCGGAUUUACUGGGUGUAAAGGGCGUGUAGGCGGGACUGCAAGUCAGAUGUGAAAUACCAAGGCUUAACCUUGGGGCUGCAUUUGAAACUGUAGUUCUUGAGUGAUGGAGAGGCAGGCGGAAUUCCUAGUGUAGCGGUGAAAUGCGUAGAUAUUAGGAGGAACACCAGUGGCGAAGGCGGCCUGCUGGACAUUAACUGACGCUGAGGCGCGAAAGCGUGGGGAGCAAACGGGAUUAGAUACCCGUGUAGUCC
rnacentral:rRNA from 1 species